rnacentral:lncRNA from 1 species
GGAAGAUAGGCAGGAUUAGGAGACGAGGAGAAUUCUGGGAAAGGUAGAUGGAGAGAUACCGGGAAGAGAUGCCAUGUAGCCACCAAAGGAGUAACAGGUCCGGACAUUCUCUGAUUCAUCAGCAAAUACCCAAAAAGGACUGUCCUUACACCUGACUUGACAGUCACAGAGGUCUGUGCUGGACUAACUGAGAUAAUCAGGGCCAGUUGUGACUAAGAGCAGGUAGGCAGAGGAAGAGCUUGAAGACUGUGUUGAGAACUAAGCCCAAGCAAUGGAUGCUGCAACUGACCACGCGGGAAGCAGCUGCCACAAACAGCUCCUGCUGGCAGCUGGCAAUUAGAAAGGGGGGGAUCUUGGAGUUAAUUUGAAGAGAAUUAUUGGGCCAUCUGGAGGGCCUUAUCAAAAGAGAAAAAUCUUGGAGGAACAGAGACCAGGACCAAAAAAAAAUCACAAGAGAGGAUUAUCUACGAGGGAGCAGCUUAUCUUCAGUUCACGCUGCAGUGAAGAAGAAAGAGACCCGAGACAGAGAAAAUAGUAGUGUUCUUAUGAUUAUCUUUCUUACUCUGCAGUGAAGAUCAUUUCUUCUGGAAACAUUGAAAGCAUCUAGUUAAUUCUUGGAACACUAGGUGAUGUGGUUUCACAUAUAAUAAAUCUUUAUGUAAUGUAAUGUAAUGUAUUGUGUUCUGCUUCUGUUUGUAUAUAAUUCUGAAAUUAUAUUGCUAUAUGCCCAUAUGUGUUUUUUUUUGUUUGCCCUGACUCUCCCACUCUUUGACGCUGACAGAAAAAAUUACUCAUUUCCCCACUCCCAAAUUUUAAUGUGAAGAAAACAUGGUGUACUUUUGAGUUGUUAGAAAUAAACUGUUUUUAUGGCAUCUGUAUGACUUGAACACUUGUGCUUACAGAAAAUACAUUGUUUGUUUGUGAGUCCUGUUUUUCCUCUAUUGUUUUACAUAAUUUAUUAAUUGUGGUUUUAGAACUGAAACUCACCUCAAGCAAUGAUAGCAAAUUUGACUUUGUUAAGGUCUCCAGGUCCUUAACUAUUAAGCUACUAUUAUAUUUUAAAAAUUUUUAGAGUUAUUGAUUUUUGUACUUGAUUAUUGUACUUGAUUUUUAUGUUUCCCUGCUUAUAUUUUGUUCAGAUGACCUGUCUUUUAGAGAAAAUGUUUAAUUAAAUAUUGAUUUCUUUCUAAGAAUCCUGGGCCUAAGAGGCUGAUUGGCACAUUUCCAGUAUCUACAGAUAAUCACAGUUGCUCUUCUGUAUUCUCAUUGGAGAUUCCACAGAGUAUGUGGUUUUACAAUGCUGAAAAUUGUGGAGUGUUCCAAGAAAUAAA